UGCCACUCUUAACGGGGUGGCUUUUCAGAAGUGUAAAAAGCUUCUGGAAUAAGGGCUGGGCAAGACCGGUGCCAGCCGCCGCGGUAACACCGGCAGCUCAAGUGGUAGCCGCUUUUAUUGGGCCUAAAGCGUCCGUAGCCGGUCUGAUAAGUCUCUGGUGAAAUCCCACAGCUUAACUGUGGGAAUUGCUGGAGAUACUAUCAUGACUCGAGGUCGGGAGAGGCUGGAGGUACUCCCAGGGUAGGGGUGAAAUCCUGUAAUCCUGGGAGGACCACCUGUGGCGAAGGCGUCCAGCUGGAACGAACCUGACGGUGAGGGACGAAAGCCAGGGGCGCGAACCGGAUUAGAUACCCGGGUAGUCCUGGCCGUAAACGAUGUGGACUUGGUGUUGAGAUGGCUUCGAGCUGCCCCAGUGCCGAANGGAAGCUGUUAAGUCCACCGCCUGGGAAGUACGGCCGCA
rnacentral:rRNA from 1 species